rnacentral:rRNA from 1 species
AUUGAACGCUGGCGGCAGGCCUAACACAUGCAAGUCGAGCGGAUGAAGGGAGCUUGCUCCUGGAUUCAGCGGCGGACGGGUGAGCAAUGCCUAGGAAUCUGCCUGGUAGUGGGGGAUAACGUCCGGAAACGGGCGCUAAUACCGCAUACGUCCUGAGGGAGAAAGUGGGGGAUCUUCGGACCUCACGCUAUCAGAUGAGCCUAGGUCGGAUUAGCUAGUUGGUGGGGUAAAGGCCUACCAAGGCGACGAUCCGUAACUGGUCUGAGAGGAUGAUCAGUCACACUGGAACUGAGACACGGUCCAGACUCCUACGGGAGGCAGCAGUGGGGAAUAUUGGACAAUGGGCGAAAGCCUGAUCCAGCCAUGCCGCGUGUGUGAAGAAGGUCUUCGGAUUGUAAAGCAUUUUAAGUUGGGAGGAAGGGCAGUAAGUUAAUACCUUGCUGUUUUGACGUUACCAACAGAAUAAGCACCGGCUAACUUCGUG